AGCGAACGCUGGCGGCAGGCCUAACACAUGCAAGUCGAACGAACCUUUCGGGGUUAGUGGCGGACGGGUGAGUAACACGUGGGAACGUGCCUUUAGGUUCGGAAUAACUCAGGGAAACUUGUGCUAAUACCGAAUGUGCCCUUCGGGGGAAAGAUUAAUCGCCUUUAGAGCGGCCCGCGUCUGAUUAGCUAGUUGGUUGAGGUAAUGGCUCACCAAGGCGACGAUCAGUAGCUGGUCUGAGAGGAUGAUCAGCCACAUUGGGACUGAGACACGGCCCAAACUCCUACGGGAGGCAGCAGUGGGGAAUCGUGCGCAAUGGGCGAAAGCCUGACGCAGCCAUGCCGCGUGAAUGAUGAAGGUCUUAGGAUUGUAAAAUUCUUUCACCGGGGACGAUAAUGACGGUACCCGGAGAAGAAGCCCCGGCUAACUUCGUG
rnacentral:rRNA from 1 species